AUUGAACGCUGGCGGCAGGCCUAACACAUGCAAGUCGAGCGGCAGCGGGAAAGUAGCUUGCUACUUUUGCCGGCGAGCGGCGGACGGGUGAGUAAUGCCUGGGAAAUUGCCCAGUCGAGGGGGAUAACAGUUGGAAACGACUGCUAAUACCGCAUACGCCCUACGGGGGAAAGCAGGGGACCUUCGGGCCUUGCGCGAUUGGAUAUGCCCAGGUGGGAUUAGCUAGUUGGUGAGGUAAUGGCUCACCAAGGCGACGAUCCGUCGCUGGUCUGGGGGGAUGAUCGGCCACACUGGAACGGGGACAAGGUCCAGAUUCCUCCGGGAGGCGGCAGUGGGGAAUAUUGCACAAUGGGGGAAACCCUGAUGCAGCAAUGCCGCGUGUGUGAAGAAGGCCUUCGGGUUGUAAAGCACUUUCAGCGAGGAGGAAAGGUCAGUAGCUAAUAUCUGCUGACUGUGACGUUACUCGCAGAAGAAGCACCGGCUAACUCCGUGCCAGCCGCCGCAGUAAAAC
rnacentral:rRNA from 1 species